rnacentral:misc_RNA from 1 species
GAAAUAAUGUUAACACCAUCCUCCACAGCUUUAUCAAAUCCAGCUAAAAUAUCAGAAUCCAUACAACCCCUUUUCCAACAAACUUUAUACGCAGCAAUCCGCGCCUUGGGUGCUAUACCAACCGCAACCCCUUUAGCAAAUCCCAGGAACGAAGCAUCCCCGACAGCUCUACCAGCUGCCGUGGACGCAGUGUGCGUUCCAUGCCCCUCGGUAUCUCUAGCAGACUUUAUAUCAGCAGAGGAAUUCAUACUCCCAAUUUUCGCCAGAUACCCAGAUGUAAAAUACCUAGCUCCAAUGAUUUUCUUAUUGCAAUUAGCUUUUGUAAAAUUUUCACCCUCAGUACACUCCCCUUUCCAAAACGAGGGAAUAGGUCCCAUCCCCUGAUCAUGAAAACUCGAUCGUUCUGGCCAUAUCCCGGUAUCGAGUACACCGAUCACAACAUUAGAACCAGAAUCAGAUUCAGUUACAAGAUUAGACAUGGUAAAAGGUGAAUCCAAUCCCAUAAAAUGAG